rnacentral:rRNA from 1 species
AUGAACGUUGGCGGCGUGCCUAAUACAUGCAAGUCGAGCGAACAGACGAGGAGCUUGCUCCUCUGACGUUAGCGGCGGACGGGUGAGUAACACGUGGAUAACCUACCUAUAAGACUGGGAUAACUUCGGGAAACCGGAGCUAAUACCGGAUAAUAUAUUGAACCGCAUGGUUCAAUAGUGAAAGACGGUUUUGCUGUCACUUAUAGAUGGAUCCGCGCCGCAUUAGCUAGUUGGCAAGGUAACGGCUUACCAAGGCAACGAUGCGUAGCCGACCUGAGAGGGUGAUCGGCCACACUGGAACUGAGACACGGUCCAGACUCCUACGGGAGGCAGCAGUAGGGAAUCUUCCGCAAUGGGCGAAAGCUUGACGGAGCAACGCCGCGUGAGUGAUGAAGGUCUUCGGAUCGUAAAACUCUGUUAUUAGGGAAGAACAAAUGUGUAAGUAACUAUGCACGUCUUGACGGUACCUAAUCAGAAAGCCACGGCUAACUACGUG